GGUGUGGUAGCCAAGCGGUAAGGCAAUUUCUCGGAAGAGAAUAGAUCGUAGGUUCAAAUCCUACCCACACCU
rnacentral:tRNA from 1 species